rnacentral:lncRNA from 1 species
AGGCAGUGCAGCCCACAGGGUGCAAGCCAGUAAGCUUCCUGCUUCCAGAUUCCUGCCCAGACUUCACUGGAUCAUGGACCAGCUGUAAGCUCUAGCUGGCAAUUCCACUCCUUCAAGAGCCCAUUUCUUUGCGAUUCGGAUGUAUACUGAAGACAAGACUUGAGAUGUUUGUGGACUGAACAACUCACUGGAUUCUUAGACCUUCUGUUGGUUGAUCAGCUCCCAAUAGUCCUUUCAAAAUCUGAAUCCAUGGACAAAAUAAUGUUGAAGCAGAGCCCCUCAUGCUCCAUUUAUUUCUCCAAAGCCCCGUGGGUGAAUGUCACUUAUAAGGACCAAGUCUUCUGUUCCUGAGCUGUUGGGGGAUGCUUCGCGUCCUAAUUACACUAGGUGAUCAAGAAAUGUGCUCAUUCAACUGCUUUUAUGAUCCACUGUUGGGCUGGACUUCAAGACCAGCUUGAGUUUGGGGAAAAAGACAAACAAACAAACCAACAACAACUCAAGUUUCAAGACUUGAAUAUGAAAAUAUGAAGGAAAAAAAAGAAUAAGAGGAGGAGGAGGAAACCAUAAUAAGGGGAAGACAAUGCAUAAAUAAAGACAACAGUAAGGCUGGAAGCACAGGUUGAGGCUACAUUGGGAGGGCCUUUAGUGAAUUUGUUGCUUUGCUUAUGGUCACCAAGAUUGAGAAAGUUUUUAGUCAAGGGAGCAAUUCAAUCUCAGAACAUUUGCAAUGGAAUAGCUACUCAGAAGGAAUUUCCAGAAUGUCAGCAAAGAAGAGAAGCCCCAGAUGAAACUGUGCCUCCUUCCCUCCCUCCCUCCCUCCUUCCCUCCCUCCCUUCCUCCCUCCCUCCGUCUCUCCCUCCCUUCCUCCCUCCUUCUCUCUUUUCUUCUUUCCUGUCUCCCCUCCCUUCUUUCUGCCCACUCUUGGUAGCAUUGUGCCAGAUGAUGGAGAAGACACAAUGAUGAAAACAUACAGUUCUUGCUUUCCAGGUGCUGUGGUCCAGUGGUGGGGGUGCAAAAUGAAGAUUUGGCUAUGGUCAGGACAAUAAAUAUCCUGAAAAGAUUUUAUGGAAUUUGUAGGGGAAAGGAAGAAUUAAACGAGGACGCUUCCUGGAGCAGAGAUAGUACAGAUAAGGAGCUGGACCUAAGAUUUGAUAAAGUCUAUUCUCACUGAUGAUUGGUUGGCUUUUCUAUCUGAAAAUGGAAAAAGCAGAUUCU